rnacentral:rRNA from 1 species
UCGAGCGGAGACAGUGAGUAGCUUGCUAUGAGCUGUUUUAGCGGCGGACGGGUGAGUAACGCGUGAGCAACCUUUCCCAGACAGGGGAAUAACACACCGAAAGGUGUACUAAUACCGCAUAAGACCACGGAAUCACAUGGUUCUGAGGUAAAAGAUUUAUCGGUUUGGGGUGGGCUCGCGUCCGAUUAGGUAGUUGGUGAGGUAACGGCCCACCAAGCCGACGAUCGGUAGCCGACCUGAGAGGGUGAUCGGCCACAUUGGGACUGAGACACGGCCCAAACUCCUACGGGAGGCAGCAGUGGGGAAUAUUGGGCAAUGGAGGAAACUCUGACCCAGCAACGCCGCGUGGAGGAAGAAGGUUUUCGGAUCGUAAACUCCUGUCCUUGGAGACGAGUAGAAGACGGUAUCCAAGGAGGAAGCCCCGGCUAACUACGUGCCAGCAGCCGCGGUAAUACGUAGGGGGCAAGCGUUGUCCGGAAUAAUUGGGCGUAAAGGGCGCGUAGGCGGCUCGGUAAGUCUGGAGUGAAAGUCCUGCUUUUAAGGUGGGAAUUGCUUUGGAUACUGUCGGGCUUGAGUGCAGGAGAGGUUAGUGGAAUUCCCAGUGUAGCGGUGAAAUGCGUAGAGAUUGGGAGGAACACCAGUGGCGA